GAUGAACGCUGGCGGCGUGCCUAAUACAUGCAAGUCGAGCGGACAGACGAGGCGCUUGCUCCUCUGACGUUAGCGGAGGACGGGUGAGUCACACGUGGAUAACCUACCUAUAAGACUGGGAUAACUUCGGGAAACGGGAGCUAAUACCGGAGAAUAUAUUGAACCGCAGGGUUGAAUAGUGAAAGACGGUUUUGCUGGCACUUAUAGAUGGAUCCGAGCCGCAUUAGCUAGUUGGGAAGGUAACGGGCUACCAAGGCAACUAUGCGUAGGCGACCGCUUUGGGUGGUAGCCCACCUUGGAAGUGAACCACGCACCAUACGCCUGCGGUAGGCAGCAGACGCCAAUCGUCCGCAGAGGGCGAAAGCCUUACGCAGCAACGCGGCGCGAGUUAUGAAGGUGUCGGGUUCGUAAUGCCCUCUUUUGGGGUAAGAACAAAUUUCUACUUAGAUGUGCCCUUCUUGACGGUACCGAAUAAAAAAGCACCGGCUAACUACGUG
rnacentral:rRNA from 1 species